CGUGAGGGGCAGGAACGGGCUGGGCGGGGAGCGCAGGGAACAGCGCCGUCCGCAGCCCGGCCGGAGCGCAGGAGCAGCGUCAGGGAGGCGGAGUGCACGUUAGAGUGCUUCCAGUCUGGUUCUCAUUCCCUGCCACUGGCCGGGGCGCCUUCCACUAGACCAGGUUGCUCAGAGCCCAAUCCAAACUGGCUUUGAACGCCUCCAGGGCUGGGCUAGGCAGAGCUGCUCUGGCUCCCCUUCAGACACUGGAAUGAGGUCUUCACACAAACUUUCUCAGCCUGCUGUCAUGGGGAUUGCAGAGGAGAGGCUCCAGAAGAGAGGGAUCACAACAAUCCCGGCCCAGCCAGCCCCGGCCCCGCUGUCACGCUCCGUGGCACUCCGCCCAGGAGGCGGCUGAAAUGCUCACCCAGCCCAAGGCCUGAAGGUCAAGGUCUCACUGGCUCUCACCCAGUGCCAGGGAAAGCCAACAAAUCCCAGAAGUGGGUGGCUGUUGCCUAACAAGCUCCUUGUCUUGGCCUGCCCUCUAUCAUCUCACCCCUGAAAGUUUUCUUCAAGCAGCAGCAGUGGGGUUUUUUUGGUGUAGUUUUCUUAGAUCUCUGCACCACAGUGAAUUCUAAAGCUUCUGCAUCAAGAAAUACAAGCAUGGAAAUACCACCAUGAACCACAAGCAGCUUAACUGCUCAUGGACCAGACUCUCUACAUAGGUUUGACUUUGAGUAUCUACUGCUAUUAUACCAACCAAAAUUCUCUUUUUUUAAGAUAUAAAAAUAAGUAUGAAAAUGCAAAUUGAGCCUCAAAAUAAAUAAACAGUAUAUCUUA